CCAGACUCCUACGGGAGGCAGCAGUGGGGAAUAUUGCACAAUGGGGGAAACCCUGAUGCAGCGACGCCGCGUGAGCGAAGAAGUAUUUCGGUAUGUAAAGCUCUAUCAGCAGGGAAGAAAAUGACGGUACCUGAGUAAGAAGCUCCGGCUAAAUACGUGCCAGCAGCCGCGGUAAUACGUAUGGAGCAAGCGUUAUCCGGAUUUACUGGGCGUAAAGGGAGCGUAGGCGGCCUGCCAAGUCCGGAGUGAAAGUCCAUGGCUUAACCAUGGUACUGCUCUGGAAACUGUGGAGCUUGAGUGCGGGAGGGGCAGGCGGAAUUCCUAGUGUAGCGGUGAAAUGCGUAGAUAUUAGGAGGAACACCAGUGGCGAAGGCGGCUUACUGGACUGUAACUGACGUUGAGGCUCGAAAGCGUGGGGAGCAAACAGGAUUAGAUACCCCCGUAU
rnacentral:rRNA from 1 species